rnacentral:rRNA from 1 species
AAACUAACUAGGAUGCCUUCAGUAACGGCGAGCGAAGCAGGCAUAGCUCAAAUUUGUAAUCUGGCGCCUUUGGCGUCCGAGUUGUAUUUUCUAGAAGCGAGUUCGGUGACAGCUCCUACCCAAGUCCGUUGGAACACGGCGUCAUGGAGGGUGAGAAUCCCGUGAAUGGUAGGAUGUCUGCUGCUAUGUGAACCGCCUUCGAAGAGUCGAGUUGUUUGGGAAUGCAGCUCUAAAUGGGAGGUAAAUUUCUUCUAAAGCUAAAUAUUGGCCAGAGACCGAUAGCGAACAAGUAGAGUGAUCGAAAGAUGAAAAGAACUUUGAAAAGAGAGUUAAACAGUACGUGAAAUUGUUGAAAGGGAAGCGCUUGAGAUCAGACUUCCUGUCUAGACUGUCCUUGCUUCUGCUUGGGUCAACAGUCUAGGCGUGGAGGCCAGCAUCAGUUUUGACGGCCGGAUAAAGGCCUUGGGAAGGUAGCUCCUCUCGGGGAGUGUUAUAGCCCAGGGUGUAAUACGGCCAGUUGGGACUGAGGACCGCGGCUUUGCCUAGGAUGCUGGCGUAAUGGUCUUAAGCGAC